AGUCAGUACUCAUUCUCUCUUACUACCUUCAGUCCUUCAGGAAGCUAGUGCAGAUCGAACACGCCUUGACAGCGGUCGGAUCCGGCCAAACCACUCUUGGGAUUAAAGAAGUGGCCGCAGCAACCCGUGCAGAGCUGCACUCCACACUGCCGUCAACAACUACACUGACCUCCACCCCGCACCGUGCACUUCUGCAAUGCACCACCCACGGCCAGCACAGGUCAA